rnacentral:lncRNA from 1 species
GAAAUUCUGUAAGAGCCAAUCAGAAAUGGGUGCAAAGCAUUCUGCUUAGAAUCUGGGGCAGAGAAAUCGUAAACUGCAGCAAACAUACACUUGCUUGGGUGUUGGGCGAUCAGCAUUCUGGAAGUAAGGCUCAAAUUGCCUCAACGUAUUCCAAAACCUGUGAGGAAAGGAAAGUGAUAGAACAACUUGCCUGAGCGGCAGCAGCAGAAGAGACCAUCUGUGCACCAUUUGGAGAAGUCCCCUGAAGAACUCCCCUGAAGAGCACCGGAUCGUUUUCAUUGAACCAUGGGCACAGGAUUAAGAAGGCCUCACGCUCGUGUUUCAAGACAACUGAAAGGAAUUGAAACAGGUAUUUGAGUUGAGAGCAUAGACCUUGUCUGCCAUAACAAUUUGGUCAAAAUAGGUAUCUCCAUUCUCAAUUAUGUGCAUUUUAUUGUUAUAGAGGGCUAUGCAAGAUUCAUGAACAAUUAACGAAGAGAAAUGAGUUAUCCUGUAGACUAGAAUCUGUUAGAAUCGUCUAACUGAUUUUCCUAUGUUCGUAUAUUCAGAGCAGUAAUGGAUCAAAGAAUAAGAACUUUGUUGUAGGUUAAGUAGCUUCACUGUACAUAUCGUACUGAAUUGAUGCACAUCUAAUAUAUGUGAAUCAAUAGGUUGGAAAAAACAGCAAAUCACGUAUGAUGCAGACUGAGGGAUCCAAGAAUAUAGGGAAGCUGCUGUCAUACAUUGGCUGC